rnacentral:tRNA from 1 species
GCUGGGUAGCUCAGUUGGUUAGAGCGAGGGAUUCAUAACCCCUAGGUCGGCGUCUACCUAUUCCGCCAUCCCGGCAACA